AGGUACGACUAUACAUAGAUCUGAUAGAAUCGUAUAAAGAGUACAGCCAGACACAAGAGCUGCACUGAAGACCCAGAUUUAUUUUUUAUCUAAACUUCUUAUGAGCUUUGUUUUAAUUCACCAUGACAUCAAGGUAUUUAGUUCUGCCUGUUCAGAGGAUUUCAUUUAUCACCGUGCGAGUCCAUUUUAAGACAUUUGUUAAGACAAUAAAAGUACAAUUCAUUCAGGCUUAUGCAUACAGAUGUGUCUGUGUCUGUGAAGGUGCAUGCUGUGUAAAUUGCUUACUCUUUAUACUCACAAUGAGCGCGUUGUUUUUUGUAAUGUAUUUUUAUCCACCGUGAAAACUCGCCUGCAGGGAUAAAUAAACUUCAUUGGAUUGAGUUAAAUUGAAUUGAAAUGGUUAGAGUGAACUUCCAAUGAGUCAAAGCCUCCCUAAUUUGACACACAGCACAGACAAGUCUGAAUUAAAUAAAAAGAGAAGUGAUGGAGCUGGUGUGCUGUAAGGACACAUUAUUGCUCAUUUCUGUAUCUUAGCGAGCUUUUUAAGUUAUAAAUAUGCAAAUACAUCUGUUUUUUCUACAUUUUAAAUAAUUUUGUACGCUUGUUCUCAAUAGCAUCUGUGUUUCUUGUAGGAAUGUAGUCCAACCACUCUCUGCAUCACGUUUUUAAUCUUGUGUUACAUAUUUUGUUCUCCCGAAUGCUCUCAGUUAAGUUUUUUUGUGUGUAUUCACCUUUAAAAGUCGCUCUUUUGUGGCUGUAACACCUUCGCUGCACUCGUCUAAUGGUGCACCCAUCUUUCUUGUGCCUUUUUCUUAUAAAGAGAAUGUGAACAACAUGAUGUCAAUUUUUAAACAUCACCUACAGACUUCUUUGUCAAGAACUAUGACCACCCACAGGGAGCGCACUUGAGAGGAUAAAGAAGUCACCAUUACGUCUCUGCGGAUGGCCUCCUAUGACGACCGUAGAGAUAUUCUUUUUGGUGUAUUGUACUUAUAUGAAUAUCUUAUGCUGUCCAUAUUGACAUGGGAUCAGCUUUGAUGCGGCUUUCAUCCACUCUCUGCGGGGGGAGGAAAUGAGUUAUUCCGUGUGCUGACUCGGAUCUGCUUUCAUGCAGUCGUGCUUUUGAAAACGAUAAGAAGGAGAAGAAGAAGAGCUGUCCGUGGUGCUGAUCCGGGAACAGUCAUGAAGCAGCUCUGUCCUGCAGUCUGCUGUUUGGAUAGGAGGAGCUGUCCUCUGUGCUGGUUUAAGCUCUGCUUUGACUCAGACGAUAUCACCAAUUGUAGAUUGUUUCUGUUGUUCUGUGUGUGGAUAAAACUGUCCUUUUGUGAAGUAGGUAGGUGGGUCUCUUCUACCAACCCACCGACCUACCAACCUGCCUGCCAACUCUACCUACCUACCAACCUUCCUACCUACCAACCUUACCUACCAACCAACCAACCUACCUACCUGUCAACCAACCAACUUACAAACAAUCUACUUGCCAACCUACCUACUUAUCUACUUGCCAACCCACCUGCCAACUAACCAACCUUCCUUCCUUCCUACCUACCUGCCAAAUUACCAACCCACCUAUCCACCUGCCAACUAACCGACCUACCUACUUACCUAUCUACCUGCCAACUACCUAACCUACCUACUUACCUAUUUAUCUACCUGCCUACCUACCUACUUACCUACCUACUAGGCAACCUACCUACGUUCCUGCCAACAAACCAACCAACCUGCCUAUCUACCUACCUGCCACUGUACCUGCCAACUAACUAACCUACCUACUUUCUGCCAACUAACAAACAUACCUACCUACCUACAUACCUACUUACCUACCUACCUACCUACCACACUUCCUACCUUCCUUCCUUCCUUCCUACUGACCUACCUAAUGACCUACUAACCUCCCUGCCAACUAACCACCUACCCACCUACCUGCCUACCUCCUUACCUUCCUACCCACCUACCUGCCUACCUCCCUACUUUCCUACCUACCUACCUGUUAUUUUACGAACUGCUCUGAGGUUGUCAAAGUUAUUUUUUAAGCAGUCCUCUCUGGUCUGUGGUUUGCUACUAUUUAUUGGAAAAACGUUCAGGUUACUCUUGGUCCUCCAAAAUAAGGAAAUGUCCCCUCUUUGAAUUUGGAUCAUCUAUUAGUCAGCUCGAUGUUAACAUCCCGACAACGUGUGAAAUAAUCCAGGAGGUUUAUGAGGAAUUGGCGGGGAAAACUGCUGUCUGCAGAAAACAAGGAGUUGUCAGGUAGAAAAUAAUAAGUUUGGUGCUCAUUUGAGAUCUGCUUCGUUUCGACUGGCUGCUGAAGUCUUCAAAUUUAAAGUGAGUAGCUGUCCGUGGUGCAGAUUUGUGAUCCGUUUUAAAGCAGCCCUUUCUUAUGGACUGUUUUAAAGUUGUCAGCCUUCAAGCAGCCUAAAAUUUCCCCACUGUCCACCAUGUAUAUAUAAAGACAAUCUUUGAAGCAAGCUCUGAAUCACAUGCUUUGCAACUUUCCUCUGUAGUCUGCUGUUGAAAGUUAUUGAUGAUCUUCAAUAAGAAUCAGUCCCGAUCAAAACAUCAGAUCAAGUCUUGUAAGCAGUCGAUGAUUUGACUCAUCUGGAGGAGGCUGUUUCUAUCUUAGAGUGCCUUGUUAGGAAAUAAGGAGUUGCCCGUCAUGCUGAUUUUUGUUUUGUUUCUUCCAUCUUUUGAUUGAAAAAUGAAAGGUUUUCCCCUGUGGUGUGCGCUGAUCUGGAGUCAACACAGCUUCAGCUCUCCACAGUCCUCCAAAUGAGGACGAGGAGCUGUCCGUGGUGCUGAUUCGAGAUAAGCUCUUCGGGAGCUUUUUCUCUCUCUGUCUUUGAAAAGCGGUGACACAUCCGUGGUGCUGAGUUGUUAAAAGUGUUGAGGUUACAUACUGUUGGACUGCUUGAGAGUGAGGAUUUGUUUGUCCUGCUGCGAGGCAACUCAGUCCUACAGUCUGCUAAUUGGAAAAAAGGAGUUGUCCAAUGUGCUGAUCAGCUUUGCUACAGUACACUGUCUGAAAAUGAGGAGCUGUUCAUGGUGCUUUGUGAUGCGCUUUGUCUCAGCUCUCCUACACCGUCGUCCAAGUGGGAGUGAGAAGUUGUUGAUGGUGCUUAUUUGAAAUCAGUCCUGAAGCAGCUCUCUAUCCGUGUUUUCCAACAGGAAAUGAGGAGUUUUAUUUGGUGCUGAUUUGGGCAGAAGGCUGUAAACAGCAGCUCACAACAUUUUUACCCUUACUAGGCCUUCUCCAACAACACACUCUGACAGCUAAAAUGUCCGAGAAGCUGCUCUGCGCUGUAUGUGUGAGUAUGCCAGCUUGAUUUAUAUUGUAGCAGUGUGAGCAAGUUGUGUUUAAAACCAGAUUGGUUUCUGAAAAUACGGAGAAUUUUGGUCAUUUUGGGUUUGCAGCCCUGUGGACUCUUGGUCUCUCACUUGAAAAAAGCAAUAUUAGAAAUGUGUGCCUGUAUGGAACAGUGAGGGGAGGCCACUGUAAUACAAAAUAGCAACAUAGCAGAUUGCCUCAGUAACCUUUGCCCAUUAUCUUCCUUUAUAGUAGGAUUCCCAAGGGAAAUAGAGCUGAGUACCAGUGAAGUAUGCCUGUAACACCAUUAUUACCAUUUUUGGACCUUUUUUUCCCAGGGUCUCUCGCCCCUCUCCCCCUCCUCUCCUCCUCCCACUGCCCUGUAUUGAUCGGCUGCUGGUUGUGUCUAACUGUACUAUAUCCACAGAUAUUUAUGUUUGGAGCUGCUGGUCUCCGGUUCCCAUUAUGGGCUUGAGCGAUAGGCAGGGGCAGUGUUUCAACACCUCGCUGCUGAGGAAAAAUGUAAUAUUCAAGAGACAUGUCCUUAGUCAGCACUUCCACUCGGAAAGCUGGCGAUGUAAAAUGACCAGGGACAGCGAGUCUACUGGAAACAUAAGCUGCAAGAAAAAAAGAAAAGAAAAGAUGAUUGGAAGAAAAGCUUAACCAUAUAAACCACAGUCCUGAAUACAGUCCUGCUCUUUUUUUUGACAAAUACAGUUUGAGUUCAACUUGAUUCUCGGCCAAACAAACUGCUUUCAGCUUAAGCUUGGUGUCAGAAUAUAUUGCUUUUGUUAGGCAGGAAUCUGACAUUUCUUUAAACCUGAAAAUAGGAUCCAUGUGUUAGGGCUGCAUGAUUUGGG